CGAGAGAAAAUCAAUUCACGCAAUUACACACAGAAAGAUUUUCAGUGUUGCAGAUGAUGUUCAGUUUGCAGAGGUAUUUGAAAUGGAAAGAAAGAGAAAUAUGAACAUACAUUGACUGCUUUGAAUAUAAGGUGUAAAAAAGAGUUACAUGUGCCAAAAAAUAUGUUGAAAAUUUGAAAACUGUUAACAAGAGCAUCAACGAAUAGAAAAAAGAACAAUACCAGGUCUGGACAUUUGUGGCAGCAUGCAAUUAUUACCAGGAAAAACAUGUAGCUGCACAGAAGACACCCCUGAUCAUAAAAUUGCAUGUAAAAAAGGAAAGCAUUCCUUUUCAUAGAAUCAAAGAACUCUUUUAACCAAGUCAAGAUGUUAUUAGACAUGUUAUCAUAUAUAUAGUACAUUUGUAUUUACAAAUAUAAGAAGUAUGUGUGACUAUGUCAUGUUACAUGUAUGCUGAGAAUAUUUUAAUGUCACAAGGAUAUGAAAUGGAUAAAUGAAAUAUUGUCAACCAUUUAAAUAAAACAGACAGGCUCACAUAAAAAUCAACUACCUAUGUGAAAGUUUAAGUUGAAUUUAUUGUCUAGAAUUAACAUACCAUAUAUCCAAAGCACAGAAUUGCCUUUCUUAGAAAUUUAAUAUGUUAAAUAGAAUGAUAUUUGUAGCUUUUAUUUUCUUGGAACUGUUUCAAUAUAAAAUAAGGGAGAUGUGGUAUGAUUGUCAAUGAGACAAAUUUCCACCAGAGACCAAAGUAAAUGUUAGAAAAUACAGGUCACAGUUAUGUUUGACAUUGUGUAGCAAUAUAUAUGAAAGACACAAAGAUUAUAGUGUAAAAUAAUUCAAACAAGAUAAUGAACUAUUAAUGAUUACUCUUAAACCUGGCAGCAAACUCACUGAAACUAAACAUAAAAGCCAAUUACAGUCAACUCAUAUUCACAAAAGGAACUAUUUUCGGUCAACAUUGAAUUCAAAAAACCAUCAAAGGCAAUGAAAGUUAACAUCUAUGUAGGACUAAAAUCUAUGGCGGGUUCCAAAUCUGUGGCAGAUUCCUAAUCUAUGGCAAAUGUGACGUUACAAACGCCAAACAACUCAAAUCUAUGGCAGAUUUUUGUUUACUCCAAAUCUAUGGCAGAUCUUGUGGAAAGGGUACCGUAUAACGUCACAAUUGAAUAUACUGCCAUAUUACAUUUUCGCCACAGAUAACGAUGGCGAAACCCAUAGAUUUGAACACCAUUCAAGAUAAAGAUAUUUCCCUGGCAACAAUUUGCGGGUGGUUUAAAGGAAGAUGUGACAUAUUAUCCCGAAGAUGGACCAAAUGCGCUGUACUAGCCGAGUCCGGCGAUGAAUUAUGGCACUGCUAUUUUAAGUAACGCAUAUUUUAGAAAAAAGGAUUUUUAGAGCCCUUUAGAGUUUGCUGUUCAGUGUGAGCAAAGGCUCCGUGUUGAAGGCCGUACCUUGACCUAUACUGGUUUACUUAUAAAUUGUAACUUUGAUGGACAGUUGUCUCAUUGGCACUCAUACCACAUCUUCCUAUAUCUAGUUUGUAGUAGUUUACUGUAGACGGCUGGCAAAGUUACUAUGAUAUAUAAAAUUACCAGAUACAAAUUUGAUUUAAAUCGUCAGCAAAUAAAAAAAAGAUGUAUUAACGAUAUCGCUGAAAUAAAUAUUAUUUGAAAAUUCAAACUGUUUAAUUUUCUUGGCCGUUACUUUUUUAAUUUUAUUUUUUAUAAUUAGCGGCCUC